CCUCUACCACCAGUGUUCCGAAGCUGAGUAUACCUGAGACAAUGACCCUCCCCAGCUAGUGCUAGAAAGGGAGGCAAAACUCCUUGGAAACUACUUUUCCCAGAAGGACUAAAGACAGCGCAACACUGUGUCCUCCUUUCUCUUCCACCACCUCCUCUUCCUUUUCCUGGUUCAAGAUGCCUGGGAGAGUUUGAACAGGAGUCGGAAGAGCCCAGAGAAGCUGGAAACAAGGAAUUGAGAGGACAUCAGACAAUCAGAGGAAGAGCUGAGAUAGAGAGUUGCUGAAGUCACCUGCAGUCAUCAUCAAAAAGGAGGUUCCAAAGAGCGUUGAAGAUGAUGUCAGCCAGAAAUCCCCAAAUUCCAUUUUGUCCCAGGAUGACCGUGAUCGUUAAAACAAAAUAAGGAAAAAGUAUAAGGGAGGAAGGAGGUAUAGCAAACUAGAGCAGGGCGCAGACGAGGACAGAGUCUGGGAGAACAGGGCUCAGAAUGGGCCUUUACGCUUUGUUCUCUAUACUUCUGUAUUAUUUGAACUCAAGACUAUGACAAUGAAAAUG
rnacentral:lncRNA from 1 species